rnacentral:rRNA from 1 species
ACGGAAGGCAGCAGUGGGGAAUAUUGGGCAAUGGGCGAAAGCCUGACCCAGCGACGCCGCGUGAAGGAAGACGGUCUUCGGAUUGUAAACUUCUUUUAUAGAGGACGAAGUAAGUGACGGUACUCUAUGAAUAAGCCACGGCUAACUACGUGCCAGCAGCCGCGGUAAUACGUAGGUGGCGAGCGUUAUCCGGAUUUACUGGGUGUAAAGGGUGUGUAGGCGGGAUUGCAAGUCAGAUGUGAAAAUUAUGGGCUCAACUCAUAACCUGCAUUUGAAACUGUAGUUCUUGAGGGUCGGAGAGGUAACUGGAACUCCUGGUGUAGCGGUGAAAUGCGCAGAUAUCAGGAAGAACACCGGUGGCGAAGGCGGGUUACUGGACGAUUACUGACGCUGAGACACGAAAGUGUGGGGAGCAAACAGGAUUAGAUACCCUGGUA